CCCAAACUCGAAGGAGUUUCACCUCCAUAAGAGCGACAGUCCUGGAGAAGUUAUCAGAGCCAAAAAAAUUCAUAUGAUGAUGCAUUUUCCGUCUCUGAAAACGUCUUCAGCAGAAGUUGUUUUUAGCGAAGUGAAACUCAUUCGAUUUUGAUCA
rnacentral:pre_miRNA from 1 species